rnacentral:rRNA from 1 species
CCUACGGGAGGCUGCAGUGGGGAAUUUUGCUCAAUGCUCGUCAGAGUGACGCAGCGACGCCGCGUGAAUGACGCCGGCCCUCUGUUCGUAACGUUCUUUCGACAGGGAAGAAAAUGCCUAUAAGUAACUGUGUAUGUAUUGACGGUACCUGUAUAAGCAGCCCCGGCUAACUCCGUUCCAGCAGCUGGGGUAAUACGGAGGGGGCGAGCGUUGUUCGGAGUUACUGGGCUGAAAGAGCACGCAGGCGGUGUUUUAAGUGUUUAGUCAAAGACUAGAGCUUAAAUUUCGUAAGGCUAGUGAUACUAUACUACUAGAGUAUCAGAGAGGAUUGCAGAAUUCCUGGUGUAGCGGUGAAAUGCGUAGAUAUCAGGAGGAAUACCGUUAGCGAAGGCGGCACUCUGGCUGGAAACUGACGCUGAGGUGCGAAAGCGUGGGUAGCAAACAGGAUUAGAUACCCCUGUAGUC